rnacentral:rRNA from 1 species
GACGUAGGGCGCGAGCGUUGUCCGGAUUUAUUGGGCGUAAAGAGCUCGUAGGCGGCUUGUCGCGUCGUCCGUGAAAACCUGGGGCUCAACCCCAGGCUUGCGGUCGAUACGGGCAGGCUCGAGUUCGGUAGGGGAGACUGGAAUUCCUGGUGUAGCGGUGAAAUGCGCAGAUAUCGGGAGGAACACCAGUGGCGAAGGCGGUUGCCUGGAGCUUUGCUGACGCUGAGGCGCGAAAGCGUGGGGAGCGAUCCGG